rnacentral:rRNA from 1 species
AUGAGUCCACUAUACCUUCCUAUAUGCGGUAUUUACCCGCCGUUCCAAGUAAAUUGGUAUGUGCCAAACUCCAAACCUUCAAAUGAAAUUAUGUUUUGUAUGCUCGAGCAGCUCAUAUUACAACUAGGGCUGCCUAUAUCUUCCAUGCUAGGUGGGUUAUUCUCAAGAGGAGUGGACUCCGCUAGUCAUUCACGAGAAAGGACCGGUAACCGGGAUGCCCAGUCCCAUGAUCCAAAAAGAUCAAAGAAAAUCAAAAUAAUUAAACAAAACUCCCCUGUGGUUGUUGUUAGUUGGAGGCACUCAUUGUUUCGAGCAAGCCAUGGAUUGAUGCUUGUUGGUGGUUGGGGGAGUAUAAACCUUUACCAUUCUGUUUGA